GUUAAGCGACUAAGCGUACACGGUGGAUGCCCUGGCAGUCAGAGGCGAUGAAGGGCGUGCUAAUCUGCGAUAAGCGCCGGUAAGGUGAUAUGAACCGUUAUAACCGGCGAUACCCGAAUGGGGAAACCCAGUGUGACUCGUCACACUAUCAUUAACUGAAUCCAUAGGUUAAUGAGGCGAACCGGGGGAACUGAAACAUCUAAGUACCCCGAGGAAAAGAAAUCAACCGAGAUUCCCCCAGUAGCGGCGAGCGAACGGGGAGGAGCCCAGAGCCUGAAUCAGCAUGUGUGUUAGUGGAAGCGUCUGGAAAGGCGCGCGAUACAGGGUGACAGCCCCGUACACAAAAGCGCAUGUGCUGUGAGCUCGAUGAGUAGGGCGGGACACGUGGUAUCCUGUCUGAAUAUGGGGGGACCAUCCUCCAAGGCUAAAUACUCCUGACUGACCGAUAGUGAACCAGUACCGUGAGGGAAAGGCGAAAAGAACCCCGGCGAGGGGAGUGAAAAAGAACCUGAAACCGUGUACGUACAAGCAGUGGGAGCACAGGUUUACCUGUGUGACUGCGUACCUUUUGUAUAAUGGGUCAGCGACUUAUAUUCUGUAGCAAGGUUAACCGUAUAGGGGAGCCGUAGGGAAACCGAGUCUUAACCGGGCGUUAAGUUGCAGGGUAUAGACCCGAAACCCGGUGAUCUAGCCAUGGGCAGGUUGAAGGUUGGGUAACACUAACUGGAGGACCGAACCGACUAAUGUUGAAAAAUUAGCGGAUGACCUGUGGCUGGGGGUGAAAGGCCAAUCAAACCGGGAGAUAGCUGGUUCUCCCCGAAAGCUAUUUAGGUAGCGCCUCGUGAAUUCAUCUCCGGGGGUAGAGCACUGUUUCGGCUAGGGGGCCAUCCCGGCUUACCAACCCGAUGCAAACUGCGAAUACCGGAGAAUGUUAUCACGGGAGACACACGGCGGGUGCUAACGUCCGUCGUGAAGAGGGAAACAACCCAGACCGCCAGCUAAGGUCCCAAAGUCAUGGUUAAGUGGGAAACGAUGUGGGAAGGCCCAGACAGCCAGGAUGUUGGCUUAGAAGCAGCCAUCAUUUAAAGAAAGCGUAAUAGCUCACUGGUCGAGUCGGCCUGCGCGGAAGAUGUAACGGGGCUAAACCAUGCACCGAAGCUGCGGCAGCGACGCUGAUGCGUUGUUGGGUAGGGGAGCGUUCUGUAAGCCUGUGAAGGUGGCCUGUGAGGGUUGCUGGAGGUAUCAGAAGUGCGAAUGCUGACAUAAGUAACGAUAAAGCGGGUGAAAAGCCCGCUCGCCGGAAGACCAAGGGUUCCUGUCCAACGUUAAUCGGGGCAGGGUGAGUCGACCCCUAAGGCGAGGCCGAAAGGCGUAGUCGAUGGGAAACGGGUUAAUAUUCCCGUACUUGGUGUUACUGCGAAGGGGGGACGGAGAAGGCUAUGUUGGCCGGGCGACGGUUGUCCCGGUUUAAGCGUGUAGGUGUGUGUUCCAGGUAAAUCCGGUUCACUUUAACACUGAGGCGUGAUGACGAGGCACUACGGUGCUGAAGCAACAAAUGCCCUGCUUCCAGGAAAAGCCUCUAAGCAUCAGGUAACAUCAAAUCGUACCCCAAACCGACACAGGUGGUCAGGUAGAGAAUACCAAGGCGCUUGAGAGAACUCGGGUGAAGGAACUAGGCAAAAUGGUGCCGUAACUUCGGGAGAAGGCACGCUGACACGUAGGUGAAGUGAUUUACUCAUGGAGCUGAAGUCAGUCGAAGAUACCAGCUGGCUGCAACUGUUUAUUAAAAACACAGCACUGUGCAAACACGAAAGUGGACGUAUACGGUGUGACGCCUGCCCGGUGCCGGAAGGUUAAUUGAUGGGGUCAGCGCAAGCGAAGCUCCUGAUCGAAGCCCCGGUAAACGGCGGCCGUAACUAUAACGGUCCUAAGGUAGCGAAAUUCCUUGUCGGGUAAGUUCCGACCUGCACGAAUGGCGUAAUGAUGGCCAGGCUGUCUCCACCCGAGACUCAGUGAAAUUGAACUCGCUGUGAAGAUGCAGUGUACCCGCGGCAAGACGGAAAGACCCCGUGAACCUUUACUAUAGCUUGACACUGAACAUUGAGCCUUGAUGUGUAGGAUAGGUGGGAGGCUUUGAAGCGUGGACGCCAGUCUGCAUGGAGCCGGCCUUGAAAUACCACCCUUUAAUGUUUGAUGUUCUAACGUGGACCCGUGAUCCGGGUUGCGGACAGUGUCUGGUGGGUAGUUUGACUGGGGCGGUCUCCUCCUAAAGAGUAACGGAGGAGCACGAAGGUUGGCUAAUCCUGGUCGGACAUCAGGAGGUUAGUGCAAUGGCAUAAGCCAGCUUGACUGCGAGCGUGACGGCGCGAGCAGGUGCGAAAGCAGGUCAUAGUGAUCCGGUGGUUCUGAAUGGAAGGGCCAUCGCUCAACGGAUAAAAGGUACUCCGGGGAUAACAGGCUGAUACCGCCCAAGAGUUCAUAUCGACGGCGGUGUUUGGCACCUCGAUGUCGGCUCAUCACAUCCUGGGGCUGAAGUAGGUCCCAAGGGUAUGGCUGUUCGCCAUUUAAAGUGGUACGCGAGCUGGGUUUAGAACGUCGUGAGACAGUUCGGUCCCUAUCUGCCGUGGGCGCUGGAGAACUGAGGGGGGCUGCUCCUAGUACGAGAGGACCGGAGUGGACGCAUCACUGGUGUUCGGGUUGUCAUGCCAAUGGCACUGCCCGGUAGCUAAAUGCGGAAGAGAUAAGUGCUGAAAGCAUCUAAGCACGAAACUUGCCCCGAGAUGAGUUCUCCCUGAGACUUAGAGUCUCCUGAAGGAACGUUGAAGACGACGACGUUGAUAGGCCGGGUGUGUAAGCGCAGCGAUGCGUUGAGCUAACCGGUACUAAUGAACCGUGAGGCUUAACCUUACAACGCCGAAG
rnacentral:rRNA from 1 species